GUCCAUUUUAAGCAAUUUGGCAUAUUAUUACUAUCAGUGUUAGUUGCCUUGUUGGUAGCCAUUAAAACUAUGAUUUUUAUCAGCCUUGUAAUAGUUUUUGCCUUUCCACAGUCUUCACUAUAGACUGCAUAGUGAGAAUAUUUACAGCUCAUCUACAAAAGAAAAUAAAAAAAGCAAAUUCAAAAGUAAAACAACAAACCUAACUUGUUCUGGUCCUUGGGGGCUAAGGGUUUAAACAAGCUCCUUAGCUACAUAAUACUACUUGGCAUUUGUGCUGUGUCUUGCAGCCAAGGACCUCAAAGUGCUUUCCAAAUAAGUACUACAUUAUUACUAUUAUUAAUAAUGUAUUUUAUUUAUUUAUUUUUACCAUUGUACAGUGGAGGAACCUGAGGCACACAGAGGUUGCAAGUGACUUGCUGUAGGUCAUUUAAUGGAAGUGGAGUGAAACGGAUGGAGGAGAAAAAGUAAAGUCAAGAUUUGUAUUUUUGGAUAAUCAAAGAAUAUUUUCUCCAAAGAAUAUUUUAAAAAUCCCACAAUAAAAUGAUCCUCCUCCCCCUUUCUCUGGGAGUAGAACAUGGAUUGGGCAAUUCUACCUUUUUUUUCCUAGAGUAUAACCCAUGAGUAUAUGUAAUCCAGUUGCCAUUUAACAUUUUUUCUAUCAUCAACUAGAUAGAUUCUGGCCUAACAAUUGCCAGAACUCUUUAUUUUAUUAUGAAUGCCCAUGCAAAUUUCCCUGGAUGAUUUCUCAGUGCUAUGAUUAGUAUCAGGAUCACAUGUGUCAGACAUCCAUGAAAUAGCAAUGGAAAACUGAAAGUAGAUUCCUUUUGGAGGAAGGAAUCAUACCUUCUAUUUUAGUCAAAGUAUUUAUUGGGAAAAAUAAUACUGGACUUCCAAAGGACUCAAUCUGUGUUUUUUCAAUUUUUCCUCAUGUAUAGUUGCAUAAUUAUACCUACCUUUUAUUAACAUAUUAGCAUAUUAUUCAGUUUGAGUUUUACUUAGUGUUCUUUUAUCUAAUCCAUGGCAGUCAGCAAGUUUCUGCCCACCUUGCUGACCAAAGACAUCUUUAACUUUCAAUGGGAACUUCAUCUCAAUGAUAGGGAAAAAUUGCUGUAUCAAAUCUUUAGGCCAAAGUCUGAGUUAUAAGACACAAAUGACCAGCAGCCCUGCUUUG
rnacentral:lncRNA from 1 species